UCUCGGCCCCAAACGCCAUUUCUCUUUCUUCUCUCUCUCUCUCUCUCACCGUUGGGUCUUUGCGUAGCAAAUCUCUCCCUCAUCGCGACUUACCCGCACCAAAUCUCUCGAUUCCCAACACACCCUCUUCUUCUUCUUCUUCUUCCUCCUCUCGAUCCCAAUCCCCCAAAUCCCUCAAAUCUCUCUCUUUUUCUCUCUCUCGGUGACCCCAGCUGCUUUUGGGUUCUUUUGAUUCUUUCCCCGCCACCUCAGCCCUAGAAAUGGUUUUGCAUUUGGGCGUAUUCUAAUCGGAGAUCUCCGGGGGCGGGGCUUGAUCUAGGGUUUGUGGAAUUUCGGCGAAUCUAGGGUUUUCUGGUGGGGAAAUUUUGAACAGACGGGAUUGAUGUUUCGUCUCAGGCACGAUUGCGGGAUCGAUGGAGGGCUUUUAUUAUGCAUGGGUCGCCAGCUGAGGAGUCGAUACCGCGUCGUCGGCACAUGUGGCCUGUCCCUCAUUCCAACGCCACGACUGUAGCUUCCAACCCCUCUUCACCACCACCACCUGAUUUCUUCAACAAAGAUGGACGCAAAAUUCGUGUCGGAGAUUGUGCACUUUUCAAGCCCCCUCAGGAUUCCCCACCUUUUAUAGGAAUAAUUCGCUGGCUAAAAUUAGACAAGGGAGACAGUUUGAGUUUAGGGGUUAAUUGGCUCUAUCGACCUGCUGAUGUGAAGCUUCUUAAAGGGGUCUCGCCAGAAGCUGCCCCAAACGAGGUCUUCUACUCCUUUCACAAGGAUGAGAUACCUGCUGCAUCGCUACUGCAUCCGUGUAAAGUCGCAUUCCUUCGUAAAGGUGUUGAACUUCCUUCAGGGAUAUCCUCAUUUGUGUGCAGAAGAGUGUAUGAUACUGAGAACAAGUGUUUAUGGUGGUUAACUGACAAAGAUUAUAUUAAUGAACGACAGGAAGAAGUAGAUCAUCUUUUAGACAAGACAAGACUAGAAAUGCAUGGGGCAGUGCAGUCGGGAGGUCGUUCUCCGAAGCCCUUGAAUGCUCCGUCAUCAACACCACAGUUCAAAUCUGGUUCAGAUAGUUUACAGAAUAGUGCAUCCCCCUUUUCUUCGCAGGGUAAGGGAAAAAAGAGGGAGCGAGGUGAUCAGAGCUCUGAUCCGGUGAAACGUGAGCGCUUAAUUAAGACAGAGGAUGGAGAGGCUGGCCACGCCAGACCGGAAAGUGUAUUGAAGUCUGAGCUUUCCAAAAUAACAGACAAAGGAGGACUUGUAGACUUAGAGGCGGUUGAGAAGUUAGUCCAACUUAUGCAACCUGACAGUGCUGAAAAGAAAAUAGAUAUGGCUGGCCGAAUAUUGCUUGUUGAUGUCAUAGCAGUUACUGAUAGGUUUGAUUGCCUUGGGCGAUUUGUACAGCUAAGGGGUUUGGCUGUAUUGGAUGAAUGGCUUCAAGAGGUUCACAAGGGAAAAAUUGGUGAUGGUAGCAGCCCUAAAGAAAGUGAUAAAUCUGUUGAGGAGUUUCUCUUUGCAUUACUUCGUGCACUGGAUAAGCUGCCUGUGAAUCUUCAUGCUCUACAAACUUGUAAUGUUGGCAAGUCUGUGAAUAAUUUACGUACACACAAGAACUCUGAAAUUCAGAAGAAAGCUAGGAGUUUGGUUGACACAUGGAAGAAGCGUGUAGAAGCUGAGAUGAAAUUAAAUGAAUCAAAGUCUGGAUCAAGCCGUGGUGUCUCCUGGCCUUCAAAGGCUGCACCUUCAGAAGUUUCUCAGGUUGGUAGCAGAAAAACUGGAAGUUCAUCUGAGGUUGGCUCAAAAAGCUCCACUGUUCAAAAUUCCGUGUCCAAAUCUCCUCAAGUGAAAGUUGGCUCUUCUGAAAUGGUUUCAAAGUCUUCUGCUUCUCCUGGGUCAACAAAACUGCUGUCUGUAUCCUCUGGUAAUAUCUCUAAGGAUCAAAAUUUCAGAAUGCUAGUUGGUGCUGGAAACUCCGAUCUUCCAUUGACACCAAUUAAGGAGGAACGGAGCAGCAGUUCUAGUCAGUCUCAGAACAACAGCCAAUCAAGUGAUCAUGCAAAGACUGUGGGUUCCUUAUAUAAAGAAGAUGCAAGAAGCUCAAGUGCUGGUUCAGUAAGUGCAAAUAAACUUUCUAGCGGCUCUUCUCGACAUCGGAAAUCAAGCAAUGGUCUUCAUGGGUCUGCCGGCUCAGGGGUGCAUAAGGAAGGAGGACCAGGAAAAGUUGGUACCCCAAGUAGAAAUUUGACUUCUGAGAAGGCAUCAACCGCCGGAGUAUCCUAUGAGAAAGGUCAUGAAGCUCCAAUGGUUGACCAGGCAAGUAGCAGACUAAUUGUGAGGCUGCCGAACACUGGCCGCAGUCCAGCUCGGGGUGCUUCAGGAGGUUCUUUUGAAGAUCCUGUUACAUCUGGCAGAGCUUCUCCUUCUGCAGAAAAGCAUGGCAACCAGGAGAAAAAAGCCAAGGGUAGAAGUGAUGCUUUGCUGGGAAAUAGUACUGCUGAUAUGAACUCAGAUGUAUGUCACAGCAAAGAUGGAUUGUCUGGUUCUGAAGAAAAUAAUGUGCCACCUUUCUCCAGUGAACAAAAUAGGGCUGGUGAAGAUGCUGAAAAACCAAUGGAGGCAUCAAAGGUUGCUGGUCCUGGAUCAAAAGUUAUAUCAAGGAUGGGAAAAUCAUAUGAAGCAUCCUUAAGCUCCAUGAAUGCUUUAAUUGAAAGUUGUGUCAAGUUUUCUGAAGGUAGUGAUACUGCUUCACCUGGAGAUGAUGUUGGGAUGAAUUUACUAGCUAGUGUGGCGGCUGGAGAGCUGUCCAAAUCUGAAAAUGUCUCACCAUCAUGUUCUCCCCAGAGGAAUUCUCCUGUGCCUGAUGGUUCAUUUUCAGAUAAAGAUGCCAAGUUGAAACAACUGGGUGAAGUAUCUGAAACCCAAUGUCAACCUAUCGGCAGGGCUAAUAGUGGUUCUACUGCAGAGCUGGGAAACGCUGGUGACUCAUUGCGGGGUAAGAGUGAACCAAGACAUUCCGUACCCCAUCUGCCAGCUAAUGUUUCUGGAGGAGACACCAAAUGCAGUUCAGCUGGUUCUGGGAAUCAAAUAGUUGAGUGUAAUGCAAAUUUGAAUUGUUCUUCCAAUAUGCAACAAAAUGUAGAUAGACCAUCCUUGGCGGUUGAUGGGAAGCUUGUUGAGCCAUAUUAUGCUUCUGGAUCAGAGCUACCUUCAUGCGCUACAAAAGAGGGUCUUGUGGAGGCUGAAGGGUGUAAUCAGUCUCAUGAGCAAGGAAAAUUAGGGGCGCAGAAUGCGAAAGGAUGCAGUAUUUCUGAGUCUAAAUUAAAAGUGCCGCCUGCCUUGCAUGAUGAGGAUAAAAUUCUACAUAAAGGAGAUGAAAGAACUGUGGGAAGCAGUAAACCUAUUGUGUCUGAAGCAACCUCUGGGAGUGAAAAAGUUGAAAAGGACAAUGAAACAUCAACCUGCUCGUCCUCUGAAAUGGCUGAUGACAACCCAGAUACCGUUAAGGAUUCAAAUAUUGCCCUAUUGGCAGAGCAGAAACCAUCUGGUGCAACAGGAAUUCAAUCAGAGUCCAAGGAGGGGAAGAGUGAGGAUGCUGUUCCUUGUUCUGGUUCUGGAAAUACUUUACAGUUGCAGUUGAAGGGCGAAAACACAGAUGAAGAUAAGGCCAUGGGUCACUCUGAGCAGACUGUGAAAGACGAAAGGGAUAAGAGUACGGAAAGAAAAGACGCUUUGGAACACAGCAGCGAAUUCUCUCAGGAGAUUAAGGAAAGAAAGGAGACUUCUGGUCACUGUUCUGGGACACCAAUUCCUCGUGUUCAGUCACCUUCAGUACCCGUGCAAGAAAAUCACAAGCCUGGGUGCAAGUUGGAAGCUAUUGAAUCAGGGGAAAAAGAGGAGCGGCAAAUUUCAGGUGUGAAUGCCUCGGGGUCAGAUACUGCUGUAAAGCUGGACUUUGAUUUGAACGAAGGUUUCCCUGUUGAUGAUAGUAUUCAACAAGAGUUUGUUAAAGCAGGAGAUCCUGGAGCUUCAUCUUCUGUUCAUGUUCCUUGCCCUUUACCCUUCCAAAUGCCUUCCAUGUCGGGGAGUUUCCCUGCAUCAGUUACUGUGGUUGCACCUGCCAAAGGUUCAUUUGUCCCUCCUGAAAACCCAAUGCGGAGUAAGGGUGAACUAGGAUGGAAAGGAUCUACAGCUAGGAGUGCAUUCCGACCUGCUGAGCCCCGAAAAAAUUUGGAAGCACCACUCAGCACAAGCGAUCCACCUGUUGUUGAUACUGCUUCUAGCAAACAAGGCCGCCCACCAUUGGACUUUGAUCUCAAUGUGCCUGACCAGAGAGUUUAUGAGGAUGUUGUUUCCCAAAACCCUGCACAUGUCAUGGAUCACAAGUCUGGGUCUCAUGAUCGCGGUGCUGGAGGGCUUGAUCUCGAUUUGAAUAGAGUUGAUGAGAGUCCUGAUAUCGUUCCGCUUCCUGUUAUCAACAGUUGUAGGUUAGAGAUUCCUCCUUUGCCAAGUAGGUCAUCAUUAUCUGGUGGACUAUCUAAUGGUGGAAUUAAUGACUCCAGAGAUUUUGAUUUGAACAAUGGCCCCGGCCUUGAUGAAGUGGGGACUGAAGCUGCACCAUUUACCCAGCAUAUAAAAAGCAGUGUGCCUCUGCGAACACCUGUUUCUGGGUUAAGAAUGAAUAGCCCUGACUUUGGGAAUUUUUCAGCAUGGUUCGCUCCUGGAAACUCAUAUCCUGCCAUCACAGUCCCAUCCAUUUUUCCAGGCAGAGGUGAGCAGAGUUAUGGUACUGCUGCUGGGUCACAGAGAGUCUUGUGUCCUCCCACUGGUAACCCCUCAUUUGGUCCUGAAAUCUACAGGGGGCCUGUACUGUCGUCCUCAACUGCAGUGCCGUUUCCUCCUACUACAUAUCAGUAUGCAGGAUUUCCUUUCGAAACCAAUUUUCCUCUGUCAUCGAGCUCCUUUUCAGGUUGUUCAACUGCAUAUGUGGAUUCAUCAUCUGGUGGGGCACUCUGCUUCCCCACCAUGCCUUCACAGCUCAUGGGACCGGGUGGUGUAGUCUCAUCACCUUACCCACGACCCUAUAUGAUGAACCUUGCUGGCAGCAGCAGUAAUGUUGGCCUUGAUGGUAGGAAAUGGGGUAGUCAGGGCCUUGACCUCAAUUCCGGGCCUGGAGGUACAGAAGCAGAACGGAGAGAUGAGAGGUUGCCAUCAGGGUUGAGGCAGCUUUCUGUUCCCAGUUCACAAGCCCUUGUAGAGGAACAGUUGAAGAUGUUUCAGGUGGGAGGGGUAUUGAAGAGAAAGGAGCCUGAUAGUGGAUUGGAUGCUGUCGAUCGCAUGAGCUACAAGCAACCUUGGCAGCAGUAGAAUCACGGCACGGUGCAGAAACCUGUAAUGGCCUGUUAUUCAGGGUCUUGCAUUGAAACGUACAGCAGAUGUGGAGCUCAAGAGGCAAAUGCUAAAGGGCAGGAACAUUUUGUUCAUUGUGCGGCAGUCCAACUUUGGAAAACCCUGGUGCCCUGGAGGCGAUUUAUUUAAAGGAUCUAUUCUUAUGGCCUCUGAAGACGAGUUUUUCUAUGUAGAUAUCUAACUCAUGAAAAGCAUCUUUGAUGUUGCUGCCUAAAGCUGAGACAUGGGUGCUCAGUGUUUGGACUUGUGCCCACUCAGUUUCUGAUCCAAAUUAUAGAAUGUCAUUCCCAAUAAAGUCAUUGCAUGAAAAGGUUGAAGGAACUUUCUGUUCCCAGAUUUCAGUUGGCUUUUCCAUCCCCACUCUUUCAGGAACAAAAGCGUCAUUUCAUAUGUCAAUGUACCACAUCUUGGAGCAUAUUUGUAUGCAGAUCACAUGCCGUUUUCUUUUUUACUCGUAGUGUUGCAGAUGUCAUGUAUGUAUAAGUUUUCUUUUUUAUGCAUAGUGUUACAGAUGUCACGUAUGAAUACAAAGGCUGGUGCUGAGAAGGGGGACCAGAUGCGAUUGAAAUUAAAAGAAUCGGAAAGUCGAUUUAUCAUAGGACGGCCCCUUCCAAGCUUCUAGUAGCGGUCUAAGGAUGAAACUAAAUCUUAAGAUAUGUUAUUCCUUACUUAAAUCCUUUCCGAGUCCGACACUCCACCA